GUCUUAGUUCGGCUCUAUUGCCGCGAGCUUGACUCUUCCUGGGUCUGAGGAAAAGUAAAAGUAAUUUUGUCAUUUCCUGAAACUUCAAGUUAAACCUUUAAGCUGUUCAUUUCCUAAAAGGGUGAAAACGCGGGCACCCCUCGAGCUAGUUCAUCGCCUUUUAACCUGUUGUUGGAUCUUUCCAGAUCACCACACCACAUCACCCAGCCACUCUGCCCAAUGGGAGGGCAGACAGUGUUCCAGUGUAGGAGGAAGGGGUGUAAGGUGCGGGCAGUUUGUGAGGAGGGCACCAACGAGAGCUACUGUGAGAAAGUCUGCAUGGUCAAAAAGUGGAUUACCAAGAACAAAGCAUCAUAAUGUUGUCCAGUGGACCCCAGGUUAGCUUAAAAGGUCUAGUCUUUGAUUCUUUAUGGAUUAUUGUUUUGAUGUAUGUCUUAGUCUGUUUAUGCUGCUAUAACAAAAUACCUUAGGCUGGGUAAUUUAUAAAGAACAGAAGUAUAUUUCUCACAGUUAUGGAGGUUGGAAAGUCCAAGAUCAAGAUG
rnacentral:lncRNA from 10 species